UACGAAGGGGGCUAGCGUUGCUCGGAAUCACUGGGCGUAAAGGGUGCGUAGGCGGGUCUUUAAGUCAGGGGUGAAAUCCUGGAGCUCAACUCCAGAACUGCCUUUGAUACUGAAGAUCUUGAGUUCGGGAGAGGUGAGUGGAACUGCGAGUGUAGAGGUGAAAUUCGUAGAUAUUCGCAAGAACACCGGUGGCGAAGGCGGCAUCCUGGACCGGUAUUGACGCUGAGGCGCGAAAGCCAGGGGAGCAAACGGG
rnacentral:rRNA from 1 species